CUGGGACCCAGGUUGGGUGCUUCGGCGCCCGCCCCCACCCUUUGCUUAGCCCCCGAGACAUUAUAACCCGUCGGCCUUAGGCGCGCCCGCUUGACAGCGUGGUACGCCGGCCGGACAUCAAACCCUGAACAACAUUGCAGCCUGAAGUGAAAAGCAAAUAGUUA
rnacentral:misc_RNA from 1 species